UACGUAGGGGGCAAGCGUUGUCCGGAAUUAUUGGGCGUAAAGAGCUCGUAGGCGGUCUGUUACGUCUGCUGUGAAAACCCGGGGCUCAACUCCGGGCCUGCAUUCGAUACGGGCAGACUAGAGUUCGGUAGGGGAGACUGGAAUUCCUGGUGUAGCGGUGAAAUGCGCAGAUAUCAGGAGGAACACCGGUGGCGAAGGCGGGUCUCUGGGCCGAUACUGACGCUGAGGAGCGAAAGCGUGGGGAGCGAACAGG
rnacentral:rRNA from 1 species